UCUCAACCAUAAACGAUGCCG
rnacentral:siRNA from 1 species